UCUGUACUUGCCAAUGACACUAGCAUCACCAAAUGGAUCAACACAAACCCAUUUUUGCAUAGCUUUAUUAAAAGCCUCUACCCAAAAAACCGGUUUGGGAGAAUCAAUUACCUUUAGUUUUGUAUCUUCUGUAACAAUAUCUGAGGCAUCAAGAUGUGAAAGAUUUGAAAAAGAAGGCUGUAUGAUUUUCCUACGUUUGCGAAAUCUAGAAGUAAUGUGUGCACUUUCAGAGAUAUCGCUAGAUGAAUCAUUUUCCAUUUGCUGAGACCAUGCCGGAACAAUUUCAUGACUACUUGCUUCAUUUAUGGCACCUUUAAAUCGAAAAGAUAAAACUUGUAGUGAAAAAACUAGUCUAGUUGGAACGUUUAAAUUACGAAGAAUAGA